rnacentral:ncRNA from 1 species
GCAGAGUAGCGUUUUCCGCGUGAAGUGUCCAUGGACGGGGAGUUGCCAUGGGACGAAGCAGCGAAAGCUGUGCGGUGGGGAACGCGCAUCCCGCUGC